UAAGCGGCGUGCCUAACACAUGCAAGUCGAACGGACAGAAAGAUUACUUGCUUCUCAUAGAAAUUAGUGGCGGACGGGUGAGUAACGCGUGAAUAAUCUACCCCAAACAGGGGAAUAACACAGGGAAACUUGUGCUAAUACCGCAUAACAUAUCGAGGCGGCAUCGCUUAGGUAUCAAAGGAGAAAUCCGGUUUAGGAUGAACUCGCGUCCGAUUAGCUAGUUGGUGGGGUAAAGGCCUACCAAGGCGACGAUCGGUAGCCGAACUGAGAGGUUGAUCGGCCACAUUGGGACUGAGACACGGCCCAGACUC
rnacentral:sRNA from 1 species